AUCGUCCCCUGCGGGGCAGCAACAGCGGGGCUCCGGCGGCUGAGGGGGGCGCCUUCUGCUUGCGCGCUCUGCGUCCCUCUCCGUGGUCUGCCCUUCGCCCCGCGACCCCGGCCGAGGGUGGGAGCAGCGCGGGGUCGCAUCGGCCCGAGGCUAGCGGGGCUCGCCGUUCCGCCCGCAGCCAUGGAGGCCGGGCCGCCGGGCAGCGCCAGGCCGGCGGAGCCGGGUCCUUGCCUGAGUGGUCAGCGCGGCGCGGACCACACGGCUUCCGCCUCCCUGCAGAGCGUGGCCGGGACCGAGCCCGGGCGCCACCCGCAAGCCGUGGCAGCUGUGUUGCCUGCCGGGGGGUGCGGGGAGAGGAUGGGGGUCCCCACCCCGAAGCAAUUCUGCCCCAUCCUGGAGAGGCCGCUCAUCAGCUACACCCUGCAGGCCCUGGAGAGAGUAUGUUGGAUAAAGGACAUUGUUGUGGCAGUAACUGGAGAGAACAUGGAAGUAAUGAAAAGUAUUAUUCAGAAGUAUCAGCAUAAACGCAUCUCACUGGUCGAAGCUGGAGUGACCCGCCACAGGUCAAUUUUCAAUGGACUAAAAGCACUGGCAGAAGAUCAGAUCAACUCUAAACUCUCUAAGCCAGAAGUAGUGAUUAUCCAUGAUGCUGUGAGACCAUUUGUUGAGGAAGGUGUCCUUCUUAAAGUUGUCACAGCUGCUAAGGAACACGGGGCAGCAGGAGCCAUUCGACCUCUUGUAUCUACUGUCAUCAGUCCAUCUGCUGAUGGUUGCUUAGACUACUCGCUAGAACGUGCCAGACACAGAGCAAGUGAAAUGCCCCAAGCUUUUCUAUUUGAUGUGAUUUAUGAAGCAUAUCAGCAGUGUAGUGACUAUGACUUGGAAUUUGGAACUGAGUGUUUGCAAUUGGCCCUAAAAUACUGUUGCACUAAAGCCAAACUUGUAGAAGGAUCAACUGACCUCUGGAAGGUGACCUACAAACGAGAUCUCUAUGCGGCUGAAUCGAUUAUUAAGGAGAGAAUUUCCCAAGAGAUUUGUGUAGUUAUGGAUACAGAAGAAGAUAACAAACAUGUAGGUCAUCUUCUUGAAGAAGUGCUGAAAAGUGAAUUAAAUCAUGUAAAAGUCACAUCUGAGGCUCUGGGUCAUGCUGGCAGACAUCUUCAGCAAAUCAUCUUAGAUCAAUGCUACAAUUUUGUUUGUGUGAAUGUUACAACCUCUGAUUUUCAAGAAACCCAAAAGUUACUGAGCAUGCUUGAAGAGAGUAAUCUUUGCAUUUUAUAUCCUGUUGUUGUUGUUUCAGUUCAUUUUCUUGAUUUUAAAUUAGUACCUCCCAGUCAGAAAAUGGAAAACCUAAUGCAGAUUAGAGAAUUUGCAAAGGAAGUAAAAGAAAGAAAUAUUUUGUUAUAUGGCCUUCUCAUAUCUUACCCACAGCUACGAAGCUUGUGAUAAUUUGUUGUCAACCCGAGGAAAUCAAUACAUCCAGCAUAUCCAACUUUGAUAUCAAAUGUCUGCCUGAUGAUGUGCGCCAACUGCCACCCCAAUUCAAUCGCUUCCUUCCUUGGAGGAGGGUUUCAGGAACACACUUAAAAUCAUGAAAUAAGACAUAGACUUUACCUUGAUUCUUAUGGUCACCUCAGUAAAGGAAAGUGUUCACAGCAAGGAUAAGGUAAGAGGGCUUGUUGGUUUCCUGAGAAGAUAGUUAUACUGGAAACACUUCUAGUUAUUCACUUAAUUUUAAAAGCACUUAUAUAGAAACAGAGAAAGCACAUGAAUUUGGCAGGAAAAACAGAAGAGUAAAGCAAGAAAUGAGAACAAAGAAAGAGGUGUGGAAAAGAAGUCCUUGGGAGAAGCAAUCCAAGUGAGAUGCAAGUGUACUUUUACCAUUUGUUUUACCAUUUGUGCUCUCUAAAAUUUUAAUGAUUAGUCUUCAGUUCUGUUUAUCAGAUCAGUGUGUAAUUCUAUGGAUUUGAGAAUUACACACUGAUGUGAUAAACAGAACUGAAAUAUAGCAAGUAUAUUUAAAAUAUACCAAGUAUAAUAUAGCAAGCAUAUUUAAAAAUACUUGCUAAUGCCUCACUUCCUUCAAGUGUUUGUUCAAAUGUCACCUUAUCAAAGAAUAUAUAGAUAACUCAGAUUCUCUGACCUGCCCUCCUUCUCCAAUCCCUGCACUUGGGAAGCUCCCUUCCCCUACUCCACCUGUUCAUCUUUUCAUUGUACUUACUAUGUUCCCAUAAGCUUUGUAAUUUACUUGUUAUUUUCUUUGUUCCUGUCUGCUCCCUGCCACCCAUCCUGCCCCCCAACCCUUUUUGGACAGAAACUCCUUGAAGUCAAGCCCCUUAGACCUUGAUUAAUUCCACAAAUCUAGAGCAGUGUCUGGCAUAUCAUAGGUGCCCUUUUUUUUAACAAAUGCAUUUUCUUAACAAUUAAUAAUCUGUUGUGAUAUUUUCAGGAUUUUAAAAAUCAUUCAUCUUAUAUUUUAUAUGCAUGUGUAAUCCUUGCAUGUUGAGCUAAGAUUUUUAUGGCUUGUGUAUUCCCAUUUUAUCUCUUUGACGUAAAAUUAUAUAUGGUUAAAAAGGAUUUGUUGUUGCUUGACCUGAUGUUUGCCUCCUGAAAAAUCUCUCUAACAUAGUUUAGCAAGAUGCUAACAAGUCCCAAUGAAAUACAUCUGCUCUACUGUUGUCUCCAACUCCUGGUCUCUUCAAACUUUUAAAACUGUCGUAGAUUACUGGAAACACAACUGCAUUUGAAAUUAAUUCAAUAAAACAGUAGUUGCAGAUGCUUCACUAAGGGUUUAAAAACAAAAUUGUCAGCCAAAGAAAAUGGCUUGUAAAUGUCUAGCCAUCACUCCUGUGUUGCAGAAGUAAGUUUUCUGGCAAUGAGGGAAGUGGGGCUCCCUGCUUGCUGACACAUAAAUGACUAAACUGGAGAGAUUUCUUAGUCUGUCUGCUAAGCAGUGGUGUGGAUGUGUAACUGGAUGCUGGCAUUGCGGUGCAGUUGUAGGUGAAAAUCCUGAACGUGAUGAAAGACAAUCUUUGGUAAUAGAAUUGCAGGAAAGCAGGGGUUUGAAUCAACCAGGUACAAUCUUGCUGCUUUCUCUUUCUCAUUUGUAUAAGAUUUUUUCUAUAAUCUAGAAAGCAUAAGGGCAAUGACUUCCAAUUUAAUUGAUGGCUCAGUCUGACAUAAUUGAUUCCACAUGGUGGGUGACAAAUGACUCUUGGGUUAACCUCUCUUCCUAUUCAAGAAAUAGAUAAAUCUACUAGGAUUUUCUCUUUUCUCACAAAACUAUCACUUGGGCAUCAAUUUAUCUAUCUUUGAUGAAAUUUUAAGUAUUUCAUAAACUGGUGAAACCUCUUAUUCUUGGUUUUUGGGGGAAGGUGGAAAAUAAUAGAAUUUUCUUACAUUCUGUCAUUGAGUUGAUGGAUGGCUGAAGGAAAAGCAGCAUCCUAGGUUUUUCAGAGACAUGUCUAUGCUGAAGUCAGAUUAUAUGGUGACUUGCAGUGUAACUAUACUAGUAUCUCUUUACAUCUGUACACAAGAAAAAUUUCUGUUAAAUAACAAUAUCAGUUUGGAAUUGCUCAAGGGACUUAAUAGAACAGCUUGGAAUAUGGCCAUGGUAAUACACAUUCAGAAGGUCAAAAUUUCUCAGCUAGAGAAUGGUUCAGUAUGCUCAUUCAUCACUUUCUACUUUUGCUUAUAUGAAACAAAAACAUACAGCUACAUGCAAGUUGAACUGUAGCAUCCGCACAAUCAGACUUAAAAACAAAGUACUAAAUCCCAACCUACUGCUGUCAAUUCGCAGGAUUCAUCCUGAUAUAAUCUUUAUGAUACAGAUGUUUAUUUUCAAAACUCACACAAAGAAAUUAGCUGAAUGACAAACAGUGCUGAUAUCUUUUAUGUAUAUAACAAAUUUCAUCCCAAAAUUGCAGUGCACUAUAUAAUUAGCCAGUUAAUAAUUUUAUAUAAAAUCCUGAGUAAAAUAUUCUCAACUUCUCAAGAAUCAGAUGACUGAGAGAAGACAAAGUUCAAUUUUUCCUCAAUCUAUUGGAUAGGGUAGAUGAGAAAGAUGGCUUUUGCAGCAUUCCUGGAAAGUUCACAGUUUAGGAUUCACAGCCUCUGAUUCUUAGAUGAGGACAGCUGAUGCUAUACAUAUUACUGAAGCCAAGUGGUGGGAUGAUAUAUUCCAUCCAAGCUGUUUCCAUGAGUGAGUAGGCUCUGGCCUUUCUAGCUUGGUUUCUCAAUGCUGGAGAAGACAACACACAUUCUUUGGAAGUUGAGUCCAAACCAAAACUCCACUUCAUCUGCAGUUCUGCCUCUGGGUGGUCCUGGGUGACCCAGUUUAGCUUGGGGAAGCCCUGGGAAAUUUGAUAUGGCCACAUCCAGUUUAAGCGCUACUCCUGGGUGGUCUUCAGCAGUUAAUAGAGUUCGGUUGUGUGGCCAUUAUAAGAGCUUCAGAGAAGUCCAGGAAUCUGGGCUUGGACAAGGUCCAGACUAUUAAGUGAUGAUUACUCCUGAGCAUAUCAGUAUAAUAAACUGGAAGGACUAGAGUAGUUCUGGGAGGACUAGGUAGUUCAUGCCAAACACACCUCAGCAAUUCUAUGCUGCUGACAUGGUUGGCAUCUUCCAAUGCCCAAACUCAAGGCACCAUGUUGUCGGAUUGAACAAUAACUGGGCUGCCUCAAGGCAAGGGUUCAGAACUUUCCAGGCAUUGCUUUACGGCAAGGAAGACACAGAGAAGUUUGCUUUGAUAAAUUUAAGUCCUGUAAAUUUGCUAAAUAAUACCAACCCUUAAUUAGAUAGAUAGAUAUGAAUAUAUAUAUAUAGAUAGAUAGAUAAAGGGGAACUGAGUUGAGUUGAUAAGAAUAUCAACCCUUAAUCAUAUAUAUAUUGACAAAGGGGAACUGAGGCUUAGUCAAUCCAAAAUCAUUUGUAUUUCGCUAUAGAAAAUGGUAUAGUAUAGUGAAAACAACAUAUGCUUUGGAGACAGCCACUCCUGGGUUCUAAAGUCCACUCCACUGUUUAUUGUCAGAGAAACUGGCUGAGAGAUGUGGAACAUUAUCCCAAAAGACAGUCAUGCAGGCCGGGCGCUGUGGCUCAUGCCUGUAAUCCCAGCAUCUUGGGAGGCUGAGGCAGGUGGAUCACCUGAGGAGUUCAAGACCAGCCUGACCAACAUGGCGAAAACCCGUCUCUACU